ensembl:snRNA U1 U1 spliceosomal RNA
AUACCUACCUGGCAGGGGAGACACCAUGAUCACGAAGGUGGUUUUCCCAGGGCCGAGGCUUCUCCGUUGCACUCUGGAUGCGCUGAGCCCUGAGGUUUCCCCAAAUGUGAGAAACUAACUGCAUAAUUUGCAGUAGUUGGGGACUGUGUGCAUGCUUCCCCUUG